rnacentral:lncRNA from 1 species
GAGAGAAGGAAUAGGCUACUCCCCAUUCGGACAUCUUAGUUUUGAAAAGAUCACUAGCGAAUUGUGAGCCAUUGUCCGAAUGUAUUUUCUUCAGGAAUCCAAAACGCAAAAACCACGCAAAAAGUUGCCUAAGUGUAGCUUCUGACGAUGUAUUCGACAUGUACGCCGCUUCUAUCCACUUGGACCCAGCAUCCAUUAGCGAAAAGGGAGUGAAUUGUGACACUGGGGCUGGAGCACUCUCCUGACAUGUACAACAAGCUGAUACAAAAUCCUCAACAUCAUUAUCAAAUUCGUCCCACCAUGAGGACCAUCUAUGGCCUCUACGUGGACCAUCCAUCACAAAUGGAGAGGGCUGCCGUACCCCAAGCUAUCCUGUCGUGCCUGAAGCACCAUCUCCAGUGUCUUGAACCCCAUCGUUGAAGUCGAAGGACUUGGGAUCACAACCACAACCCUCGAUGUACUCUCUCACCAAUACCACGAGUUCCAAUUUCUUUUUACCCCUCAAUUCGUCCUCACUUCCUAGUUCCAACCUGGAACAUUCGUGUCUCAGCUCUGCGAGCGUGAGCCUUGGUAGUAGUUAUCCCAUCCUCGUCGCCACUUGUAAUGUUCCACGAACACCACUUACAGACGGAAGCAACGUCAAUAAGAACACCUUUGGAUUGGGAGUUCAAUCA